rnacentral:rRNA from 1 species
CUCGACACUUAUGAGAGGUCCAGCCUGCCCAGUGACCAAGUUCAACGGCCGCGGUAUCCUAACCGUGCGAAGGUAGCGUAAUCACUUGUUCUUUAAAUGAGGACUAGUAUGAAUGGCACCACGAGGGCUAUACUGUCUCCUUUUUUUAAUCAAUGAAACUGAUCUCCCCGUGAAGAAGCGGGGAUAAACCUAUAAGACGAGAAGACCCUAUGGAGCUUCAAACAACGAUAGCACUGGCCCCCAUUUUUUACCCUCGAGAGAUACCACCAUUAUACUGGCCAAGAUGCCUAUCAGUUUUAGGUUGGGGUGACCGCGGAGCAAAAACCAACCUCCACGUUGAACGGAACUACUCCUGAGCCAAAAACUACAGCUUUAAGCACCAACAAACUGACAUUAAUUGACCCAACAUGUUGAUCAACGAAC